UCCUGCUUCCCAAUCAAUCCCCUGCAUGGGGUACUUUAAAUGGGCCACUGACAGCACAGAGACUGCCCAGAGCAUGGGACACAAGGACCAGGUACCCAACCACCCCUCCCUGAAUGCUGUUUUCCACACGCAGCAGGUUUUGAAGCUCUGAAUGCUCCUGGGCACUGAGAACAAUGUGAGGUGGAGACUGUCGAAUAAUGUCUGAGCAAGUGGGAGCUCAGGCAGGACAACACUCUGUUACGUGAUAUUUUGGGAACAUUUUGAGGAAAUGCAGCAGUCCAAGGGCCUAGAGCCAGACACUUCCUUUUUGCCCAGGCAGUCCAUAUUGCCAGGGCACCCAUUAGGUGUCCUGGAAGGACUGAAGCUUGGCCCCAAGUGAUCUGCUUCUGCAAGCACAGCUCUUGGACUGGCUGAGCCAUCCUGCUGCCUGGCUUUGAGUCCCACGUGCUCCUGGCCAAGCCAGGGAGAGCAGCUCUGGGGACUUCAGGAAUCAUGUCCCUGAUACAAACCUUACAAAAGCAAAGCUCCUCUCUCUUGUCUCUCCAUUCCAGCUGGAAACCUCCUGACACCACAUCCAGAAAUGUACCUGCAGUGAAGUAAAACCAGAUGAAAGUGGACCCUAAGUGUAACUGAAUAUUAAGAACCAGACUGUGCUUCCCCACUGUGUUAACAACUGUGACUGACUACCCAAAAGAGGGAAAAUAUAAAUCAAUCCCACCUGGAACUCACCUAGAGUUUGCCCCUGGGAAGAUCAGCAUCAAUGAAGGUAACACAGAAAGUUUGAAUUUGUGAAAAUAUUCUGAUAUAUAGUCCUCAUUUUGUCUCAGGCUACUUCACACUAUUCCGGUGUCCUGCAUUAAACAGACCUCACAUUCAAAAUACACAUGGUGGGAAUGCCACAAAAUUUUCAUUAGAAACUUUGAUGUAGAGUUUAACACAAAAUAGUACCAGCUGAGCAUGCUACAGGAUCACAGACGUCCUGGAGGAAAGUACACAAAACCCCAUUUUGUUGGAAACAGCUUUACACCUUGUACUAAGGAGGUCAGCGGGCUGAGAACCAAGGUGCUCUACUCUGGUUUGUUUGCCAUGGAGAGAGCCUUGGGCAAACUCUUUUCCCUCUCUCUUUCUCAGUGCAUGUGUUCCUGUGUGUGAUUGGCAUUAAAAAGACACAGUGGGAAUUUC